UACAGAGGGCGCAAGCGUUAAUCGGAUUUACUGGGCGUAAAGCGUGAGUAGGUGGCUCGCUAAGUCGGUUGUGAAAUCCCUGGGCUCAACCUGGGAAUUGCAGUCGAUACUGGCAAGCUAGAGUUCGGUAGAGGGUGGCGGAAUUCCCGGUGUAGCGGUGAAAUGCGUAGAUAUCGGGAGGAACAUCGAUGGCGAAGGCAACCUCCUGGGCCUGAACUGACACUGAGACACGAAAGCGUGGGUAGCAAACAGG
rnacentral:rRNA from 1 species